rnacentral:rRNA from 1 species
UGAGGAAUAUUGGUCAAUGGGCGAGAGCCUGAACCAGCCAAGUAGCGUGCAGGAUGACGGCCCUCCGGGUUGUAAACUGCUUUUAGUUGGGAAUAAAACAGCGGACUUGUCCGCUCUUGUAUGUACCUUCAGAAAAAGGACCGGCUAAUUCCGUGCCAGCAGCCGCGGUAAUACGGAAGGUCCGGGCGUUAUCCGGAUUUAUUGGGUUUAAAGGGAGCGUAGGCGGAUUGUUAAGUCAGCGGUUAAAGGGUGUGGCUCAACCAUGCAUUGCCGUUGAAACUGGCGAUCUUGAGUGCAGACAGGGAUGCCGGAAUUCGUGGUGUAGCGGUGAAAUGCUUAGAUAUCAUGAAGAACUCCGAUUGCGAAGGCAGCUUACGGGAGUGUUACUGACGCUUAAGCUCGAAGGUGCGGGUAUCGAACAGG